rfam:Baumannia cicadellinicola str. Hc (Homalodisca coagulata), complete genome.
GGGGCUGAUUAUGGAUUCGACAGGAUUGUCGUAACCUUAGGUGCAUGCCGAGGUAAGGUAAUCUCGUAAAAUAACCUAACAUAAACAAUUGCAAAUAACUCGCAAUAUGAAUCUGUUGCAUUAGCAGCUUAAAUCAGCUUAAGAACUGAAGAUUCCCUCUCUCCCUAGUCUUAUCUCUUAGAACGGGGUUAAGAGAGGUCAAAUAUCAAAGAGAUAGCGUAAAUAUCAAACCUGGGGAUAAAACGCUAAAAACACAGGUUAGUUUGUCAAUAGCGUGUCUGUUCGCUAUAGACAAACGAAAAUUAAAACAGUACUAAGCAUGUAGUACCAAGGGCGUAGUAAUUCUGGACGCGGGUUCAAAUCCCGCCAGCUCCAGUC